rfam:Ipomoea nil DNA, scaffold: scaffold3069, cultivar: Tokyo-kokei standard.
GGAUGCAUCACUGGGCAUAUCUCCUUUGGCAGGAAGCCAUUAAUAGUUACUUUCCUGCCAAAGGAGAUUUGCCCCGCAAUUCUCCC